rnacentral:tRNA from 1 species
UGGAGUGUGGCUCAGUGUUAGAGUGCUUGUCUAUCAUGCAGGCAGCUCUGGAUACCAUCCCCAGCACUCCCC